rnacentral:rRNA from 1 species
UACGAAGGGGGCUAGCGUUGUUCGGAAUCACUGGGCGUAAAGCGCACGUAGGCGGACUUUAAGUCAGGGUGAAAUCCUGGAGCUCAACUCCAGAACUGCCUUUGAUACUGGAAGUCUUGAGUUCGAGAGAGGUGAGUGGAAUUCCGAGUGUAGAGGUGAAAUUCGUAGAUAUUCGCAAGAACACCAGUGGCGAAGGCGGCUCACUGGCCCGAUACUGACGCUGAGGUGCGAAAGCGUGGGAGCAACAGG